UGACUAAAAUAGCAGAGACUAAGGUUCCACCACAUGACACGACAGUUCUUGAGAAAGCUGUUGAGCAACAUAUGUGUUUUGAAAGACAAAACGUCAAGAAUAAAAUAAGUUGAAAACAUAUUUGGAAUAUCAUCUUUGUUUAGAACAUACUUAACUUUUUACCAACAAUGAAAGUAUUAUUAAAUAUAGUAUUACAAAUUGAA